GUUGAGGAUCAAUUUCAUCACCAUCGCUACCCCUCCAGCCAGAAUUUCAGGCCUCCACGUUGGUUCUUCGAAGAGGUAUUUCCGCUUGCCGUGCGCAGGUCUUCAGAGACCGGUUUGACUUGACUGCUGGCGGCGUUCGGCUUGCUUCUUCGUCAACCAUGGCUCCUCCCUCGAUGUCGUUGGCGCGCUGUCUACUGAUGGUCGCGCUGCUCGCGGGGCAGGGCGGUGUACUGACCUCGGCCAGCUCGGACGGUAUGGCCGAGUGUGGUAAUAUCUGCGGCGGCUUCGUGCAGCUCAUGUGCGUGGCCGAGUGCCAUUGCGUGUUCUACCCGGACAGCGACUUCGGCCUCUGCCUGCCGCUCAUAUUCAACGAGACGAACCUGCCUGAAUUGAAGUUCUUCUGAGAGGCCACCGCUCUUUCCCCCAAAAAUGAACUUUGUGUCACGACAUUCCUUUGUUCUUCCUUCCUUCGCUCAUCAUAACGCUUUCAUCGCGGUUUCCGCUUCGAGAACAUGCCAUCCUGUUGACUUUUGUGGCUGGGAAAUUCAGCCGUUGUGUUUUAACUAUUUGCUUUUAAUAUACCCGUUGUUUUUUUCUCUCGCGGAACAUACUUAAAAAAACGGAACUGUCAUAUAUAGAACUUUAUCUUUCUUUAAUGUAGUCGACGUGGCUAGGCGCACAUUAGCAGCCAGAAAAACAAUUCGAUACCAAUUUCUGUAAUUAACUAAAAUACGCUAAUCAACAGUUCUUGGUAGCUUAUGCUCAGAUGGUUUCACUACUGAAUCACGCGUUAUUUCCUAGCACCUUGCUAGCACAUUUACUUUGAAAGUUUUUUUUUUUGUAUAGCACUUCUCGGGUUUAUGUCGCGUUACGGGAACGCUUGUUUCUUGACCUAUAGCAACUGUAGUGGGUACAUGUCAUAGCGGAGGAUUAUUGUCAUCACCAUCAUCUACCCACCAGCCAGAAAUACAAGCACACACGUUGAUUCUUCCAACGCUUUGCUUCCUCUUGUCGUGGCGCAGGUCUUCACAGGCUGGGUUGACUUGACUGCUAGCAGCGUUGUGCUUGCUUCUUCGUCCACCAUGGCUCCUCCUUCCGUGUCGUUGGUGCGCUGUCUGCUGAUGGUCGCGCUGCUCGCGGGUCAGGGCGGUGUCGUGACCUCGUUGACCUCCGACGGUCUGGUCGAGUGCGGUCGUAACUGCGGCGGCUUCGUGGGCUACAUGUGCGUGGCCGAGUGUCACUGCGUCUUCUACCCAGCCAGCGACUACGGCGUUUGCCUCGGGCACAUGUUCAACGAGAGCUACCUGCCUGAAGUGAUGUUCUGAGGGGGCACCGCUCUUGCUCCAAGAAUAAACUUCGUAUAUCAACAUUA